rnacentral:rRNA from 1 species
UACGGAGGGGGCUAGCGUUGUUCGGAAUUACUGGGCGUAAAGCGCACGUAGGCGGCUCGUUAAGUCGGAUGUGAAAUCCCCGGGCUCAACCCGGGAAGUGCAUCUGAUACUGUUUGGCUUGAGUAUGGAAGAGGGUAGUGGAAUUCCAGGUGUAGUGGUGAAAUACGUAGAUAUCUGGAGGAAUACCGGUGGCGAAGGCGGCUACCUGGUCCUAUACUGACGCUGAGAUACGAAAGCAUGGGUAG